AGUGAACGCUGGCGGUAGGCCUAACACAUGCAAGUCGAACGGCAGCACAGUAAGAGCUUGCUCUUACGGGUGGCGAGUGGCGGACGGGUGAGGAAUACAUCGGAAUCUACUUUUUCGUGGGGGAUAACGUAGGGAAACUUACGCUAAUACCGCAUACGACCUACGGGUGAAAGCAGGGGAUCUUCGGACCUUGCGCGAUUGAAUGAGCCGAUGUCGGAUUAGCUAGUUGGCGGGGUAAAGGCCCACCAAGGCGACGAUCCGUAGCUGGUCUGAGAGGAUGAUCAGCCACACUGGAACUGAGACACGGUCCAGACUCCUACGGGAGGCAGCAGUGGGGAAUAUGGGACAAUGGGCGCAAGCCUGAUCCAGCCAUACCGCGUGGGUGAAGAAGGCCGUCGGGUUGUAAAGCCCUUUUGUUGGGAAAGAAAAGCAGCAGGUUAAUACCCCGCUGUUCUGACGGUACCCAAAGAAUAAGCACCGGCUAACUUCG
rnacentral:rRNA from 1 species